rnacentral:tRNA from 1 species
UGGGGCGUGGCCAAGUGGUAAGGCAACGGGUUUUGGUCUCGGUAUUCGGAGGUUCGAAUCCUUUCGUCCCAG